rnacentral:rRNA from 1 species
AGCGUGCGCAGGCGGUUAUGUAAGACAGAUGUGAAAUACCCCGGGCUCAACCUGGGAACUGCAUUAGUGACUGCAUAGCUGGAGUACGGCAGAGGGGGAGUGGAAUUCCGCGUGUAGCAGUGAAAUGCGUAGAUAUGCGGAGGAACACCGAUGGCGAAGGCAAUCCCCUGGGCCUGUACUGACGCUCAUGCACGAAAGCGUGGGGAGCAAACAGGAUUAGAUACCCUAGU